AUUGAACGCUGGCGGCAUGCCUUGCACAUGCAAGUCGAACGGCAGCACGGGUGCUUGCACCUGGUGGCGAGUGGCGAACGGGUGAGUAAUACAUCGGAACAUGUCCUGUAGUGGGGGAUAGCCCGGCGAAAGCCGGAUUAAUACCGCAUACGAUCUACGGAUGAAAGCGGGGGACCUUCGGGCCUCGCGCUAUAGGGUUGGCCGAUGGCUGAUUAGCUAGUUGGUGGGGUAAAGGCCUACCAAGGCGACGAUCAGUAGCUGGUCUGAGAGGACGACCAGCCACACUGGGACUGAGACACGGCCCAGACCCCUACGGGAGGCAGCAGUGGGGAAUUUUGGACAAUGGGCGAAAGCCUGAUCCAGCAAUGCCGCGUGUGUGAAGAAGGCCUUCGGGUUGUAAAGCACUUUUGUCCGGAAAGAAAUCCUUGGCCCUAAUACGGUCGGGGGAUGACGGUACCGGAAGAAUAAGCACCGGCUAACUACGUG
rnacentral:rRNA from 1 species